UCAAUGUUUGAUGUAUUGACGGGAAUCAAAUUGAUUCGGAAUUGAAUCAAGAAAUCAAGGAAUCGAAUAAUGAGCUGAACGUGAAACGUGUGUGUGUGUGUGUGUGUGUGUGUGUGUGUGUGUGUGUGUAUCCAUUGAUCAAUUCAUGGGAAAUAUGAAACAUUAGUAGAUUUAGUGUAUGGAGGCAGUGGUUGAGGAAUGAUACAGCAGGGAAGUGUGUGAGGUCAUCAGGGUGUGUGAGAACCACGUGUUUAGAUGUAAUCCCUUCUGAGCUUCUGAGCCGAAAAACAAAAGAUCUGCAGACAGAUGUCGAGGCGUUACAGCAAAAAAGCUACAAUUCUGAUAUCACAAAUGACAUCACCUAAGAAGGGAUACAACACGAUGGGGCGAUCCUGUUAUAGGAAAAUAAUCAACCACACAAAGCGGAGUUAUAGCACAGUUAGGGUUAGGUUACAUUUAAUGCUGUGGAAUAUCCGCUAAACAAGUUCUUCACGUCCUUGCCUCACUGGCCAGCCGUCUUGAAGAGUUACAGCUCCACCUUUGACAGUGGCAAAGCGCUGACACUGGAGACUCCUUCCAUAAAUGUUAAAUAAACAUCUCCUUACAGAAAACUUCGCCAGAUCGACGAUUGCACGCGUCUGUAAUCCAUUUACGUGGAACGUCCACCAUUACCGAUCCUUCCGUUAGUUCUU